rnacentral:rRNA from 1 species
UACGUAGGGUGCAAGCGUUGUCCGGAAUUAUUGGGCGUAAAGAGCUCGUAGGCGGUUUGUUGCGUCGGCUGUGAAAUCCCGAGGCUCAACCUCGGGUCUGCAGUCGAUACGAGCAAACUAGAGUGUUGCAGGGGAGACUGGAAUUCCUGGUGUAGCGGUGAAAUGCGCAGAUAUCAGGAGGAGCACCGGUGGCGAAGGCGGGUCUCUGGGCAACAACUGACGCUGAGGAGCGAAAGCGUGGGGAGCGAACAGG